rfam:Gossypium arboreum cultivar AKA8401 contig_54237_1, whole genome shotgun sequence.
GUUUAAAGAUUUUAUUUAUUUAUAUUAUUAAAAAUUAUUGUACCUAACGAAAUAACCAGACAGUAACACAUGGCGUGUCUUAUGUAUGUCAUGUUAACGUACAUAGAUCAAUUUUUAACAGUAGAAAUAAAUGAAAUUUUUAAGA